rnacentral:ncRNA from 1 species
AUAGUGACCGCGUUCGCCGUUCUUUUUAUCCACUCGAGGCAGCGGGGAAGGCCGUGAGAAUCGGCCACAGUUGCGCUGCGGUAAGAUCCCAGUCCCAAUUUCCAGCGUGCGGCGAAGCACGAAAGUCAAUCGAAGCGAUUCGGUGAAGACGGAAAGGAGGCGGCCGAAAGGCAGGAAGGAUCGAGUCCGAACACCCGUCCGAGAGUGCUCACGCGU